AAUCCUCAUCCUUACUCCAGGAUAUUGUUGUUUGUACUUUUCCUGGCAUUAAUUGAGGAUAAAAUAAAUGCUCUUCUGCCACCGCUGGGAACUUGUUUUUCACAUGGAUGGCUAUGUUGAGCAUACACA